UACAGAGGUCUCAAGCGUUGUUCGGAUUCAUUGGGCGUAAAGGGUGCGUAGGCGGCGCGGUAAGUCGGGUGUGAAAUCUCGGGGCUUAACUCCGAAACUGCAUUCGAUACUGCCGUGCUUGAGGACUGGAGAGGAGACUGGAAUUUACAGUGUAGCGGUGAAAUGCGUAGAUAUCGUAAGGAAGACCAGUGGCGAAGGCGGGUCUCUGGACAGUUCCUGACGCUGAGGCACGAAGGUCAGGGGAGCAAACGGG
rnacentral:rRNA from 1 species